GACGAGGGAUCCUAGCGUUGUUCGGAAUCAUUGGGCGUAAAGCGGGUGUAGGUGGCUAUGUAAGUCAGGUGUGAAAUCCCAGGGCUCAACCCUGGAAGUGCAUUUGAUACUGCGUAGCUUGAGUGUAGGAGAGGAUAGUAGAAUUCCUGGUGUAGUGGUGAAAUACGUAGAUAUCAGGAGGAAUACCGGAGGCGAAGGCGGCUAUCUGGCCUAACACUGACACUCAGACCCGAAAGCGUGGGGAUCAAACAGG
rnacentral:rRNA from 1 species